rnacentral:rRNA from 1 species
ACGGGAGGCAGCAGUGGGGGAUAUUGCACAAUGGGGGAAACCCUGAUGCAGCGACGCCGCGUGAGUGAUGAAGUAUUUCGGUAUGUAAAGCUCUAUCAGCAGGGAAGAAAAUGACGGUACCUGACUAAGAAGCUCCGGCUAAAUACGUGACAGCAGCCGCGGUAAUACGUAUGGAGCAAGCGUUAUCCGGAUUUACUGGGUGUAAAGGGAGCGUAGACGGUUUGCCAAGUCUGAUGCGAAAGGUGGGGGCUCAACCCCCAAACUGCAUUGGAAACUGGUAGACUAGAGUGUCGGGGAGGUAAGUGGAAUUCCUAGUGUAGCGGUGAAAUGCGUAGAUAUUAGGAAGAACACCAGUGGCGAAGGCGGCUUACUGGACGAUAACUGACGUUGAGGCUCGAAAGCGUGGGGAGCAAACAGGAUUAGAUACCCUGGUA